UACGUAGGUGGCAAGCGUUGUCCGGAUUUACUGGGCGUAAAGAGCGCGCAGGCGGCUGGUCAAGUCCGAUGUGAAAUCUCCCGGCUUAACUGGGAAACUGCAUCGGAAACUGAUCGGCUUGAAGGUGGGAGAGGGUAGUGGAAUUCCCGGUGUAGUGGUGAAAUGCGUAGAUAUCGGGAGGAACACCAGUGGCGAAGGCGGCAUCCUGGACCGGCAUUGACGCUGAGGAGCGAAAGCUAGGGGAGCAAACGGG
rnacentral:rRNA from 1 species